GGUCCGGCGAUCGUAUACAUGCAAGUCGAGCGAACAGAUAAGGAGCUUGCUCCUUUGACGUUAGCGGCGGACGGGUGAGUAACACGUGGAUAACCUACCUAUAAGACUGGGAUAACUUCGGGAAACCGGAGCUAAUACCGGAUAACAUAUUGAACCGCAUGGUUCAAUAGUGAAAGGCGGCUUUGCUGUCACUUAUAGAUGGAUCCGCGCCGUAUUAGCUAGUUGGUAAGGUAACGGCUUACCAAGGCAACGAUACGUAGCCGACCUGAGAGGGUGAUCGGCCACACUGGAACUGAGACACGGUCCAGACUCCUACGGGAGGCAGCAGUAGGGAAUCUUCCGCAAUGGGCGAAAGCCUGACGGAGCAACGCCGCGUGAGUGAUGAAGGUCUUCGGAUCGUAAAACUCUGUUAUCAGGGAAGAACAAAUGUGUAAGUAACUGUGCACAUCUUGACGGUACCUGAUCAGAAAGCCACGGCUAACUACGUGCCAGCAGCCGCGGUAAUACGUAGGUGGCAAGCGUUAUCCGGAAUUAUUGGGCGUAAAGCGCGCGUAGGCGGUUUUUUAAGUCUGAUGUGAAAGCCCACGGCUCAACCGUGGA
rnacentral:rRNA from 1 species